rnacentral:rRNA from 1 species
AGAAUCAACGCUGGCGGCGUGCCUAACACAUGCAAGUCGAACGAGAAAGGGUAGCAAUACCUGAGUAAAGUGGCGCACGGGUGAGUAACACGUGACUAACCUACCCUGGAGUGGGGGAUAACUGAGGGAAACCUUAGCUAAUACCGCAUAAUACCUACGGGUCAAAGGAGCAAUUCGCUUCAGGAGGGGGUCGCGGCCGAUUAGUUAGUUGGCGGGGCAAUGGCCCACCAAGACGAUGAUCGGUA